CCUGAACAGUCGAACACGCACCUGCUGUUUCAGCAGGAAGGGUAGAAGCCUGUGGUCCACGAUCCUGAACGACUCCUGGGCUUGUGAUGGACGCAUUUCAUUGGCUUGUGAUGGACGCAUUUCAUUGGCUUGUGAUGGACGCAUUUCACUGGCUUGCGACGGACGCAUUUCAUUGGCUUGUGAUGGAUGCAUUUCACUGGCUUGUGAUGGAUGCUUUUUGUUCCGCAAGUGGGACUUGCACACGUGGGAGCGGCUCACCCACCCCAUGCCUCCGUCUGCCGCGUGUGUGGCCCCAAGCCGAGGACCCACAAAGCCGUGCACCACCUCCUGACGUGGCUCUGGAUGACCAGCCUGGGAGGGGAGCUGGAGAGCCCUGCUGCCUGCGGUGGACUGUCCCGGAGAAGCCACGGUGACGACAGGAAGAGAUGUAACAGCUGAUGUGCACGAAGCCUCUACUGGCACAAGUCACCGUGCGUGCUGCUCACAGCAGCCCCGUAAGGGACCUGGACUACUAGUACACCCAUUUUACAGGCGGGGAAAUGGAGGCACAGAAAGGUUGGGUAACUUGCCCACGUUCACAUGGCCAGUAGGGCUGGAGCUGGGAUUUGAACCCAGUUUCUACUCUUGAGAGCUACUCAAAAUCCGCCUUCAGAGAGGGGGCGUGAUGAGAGGGAUCUGGAGAAGCUAUGAGGCUGGAGGGGACCUUGAGCCCGCCCCAGGGUUUGCUGGGGUGGAAGCACGGCCCUGCUCCCUCCUGCGGCCCCGCCCCUCCCUGCGGCCCCGCCCCCUCCCUGCGGCCCUGCCCCCUCCCUGCAGCCCCUCCUUCCCAUGUGGUCCGAGUGAGGGGAGGACGUGGCUCCGGUCCCAGUCCUCCACCCGGCCUGUGCUGGGCGCCCCCAAACCACCGGCCUUCUCAUCCCUAAAGGGGGCCGAGAAUAGCAGCCGGGCGCCUCUCCAGGCUGUCACGAGGAUGGGAUCAGAUAUAGGUGUGGAAGCCCCAGGAAAGCCCAGCUCUCCUGCUCCAGCCGCUUGGCCGCCAAGAGGGGUCUGGCUCCCUGUGCCAAGCCACACCUCCCCCCCACCCCCUAUCUCCCCACCCCCGCCAUGGUCGGACCCCGAAAGGUGGCAGGACUGGACACAUUCUCUCUGUUGAAGGCUCUGGCCUGCCUGGGUCGCUGUCCUAGGAUCUCUCAGAGGUCAGGCAGGUGCCAGGAGGGGAGAGUCCCCUGCCUAUCCCCAGCCGUGCACAGGAGCAGGGCCCUCCCCAAGGCUUCCCUAUGUCCCUAUGCCUUGAAUCUCAUCCUGAAAACAAGGACCUCGGACCUGCCGACCUGCCAGGUUUCUUCCAUCUUCAAGAUUCUAUCCUCCCGCUGAACCGAGGACCCCUGCGUGGCUGCUCCUCCCAGCCCCCCGCCAGAGGCCCCAACUCUUGCUCUUCCUUCUCGAAGGCAGAAGGUGCCGUUGAUGGAACCUCCUUUUCUGGGGAUCGAGGCCCUGUUGUCCCCAGAAGCUGGGGCGCUAUUGUGCAGAGGGGUGGCGUUGAUAGGUGUGACGGUCCUGGGACUGAGCCCCUCUUGGCAGAAAGAGAGCCUUACACAGGGGCCAGCAAAGAGGGUUCAGACUUGGGAAGGCGGAUGUCAGGGACAGAAUUCUCCAGAAUGGCGCCAUCCAGUAGAGACUGUAGGCAGGCUGUGAACCGGAGCUGCUGGUUUGAUGUCACAUUAUAAGAAAAGAACAAACGGGCGAAGUUUAUUAUUAUUAUUAUUAUUUACUAUUAUUAUUAUUUUUAAGGGCCGCACCUGCAGCAGGUGGAGGUUCCCAGGCGAGGGGUCAAAUUGGAGCUGGAGCUGCCGGCCUACACCACAGCCAUGGCAACCCCAGAUCUGAGCCACAUCUGUGACCUACACCGCAGUUCUUGGCGAUGCCGGCUCCUUAACCCACUUCCAAGAGCGGCCAGGAAUUGCACCUACAUCCUCAUGGGUACUAUUCGGGAGCCACAAAGGGAGCUCCCAGGUGAAGUUUAUAUUAAUAAUAUAUUUCAUUAUCUCGAUACCUGCAAAUGUGAUCAUUUCAACACGUAAAUCCGUUUAACAUUCCGAGUGAGAUACUUUUCGCUCUUUGUUCACAGAAGACCUUUGAAACCCAGCACAUCUCAUUGUGGACCAGCCACAUCCCAUGUGCUCCAUGGCCAUGGGUGGUGUGGUCGCCCUGGUGGACGGCACAGCUCUGGGGAUGGAGAUGGAUUUGAGACCCACCCGUACUGCCAGCCGGCCAUGCCACUUAGACUUAAGGGAUGCCAGGCUCUAUUCCAAGAGCUUUCGGUGUAGUAACUCACGCAAUCAUCGUUUCCGUUUUUUUGGUUGACGAAAUGGAGAUCCAGAGAGGUUAAGUAAUUUGCCCAAGAUCACACAGCUAUUGAGAGGUGGAGCUGGGUUCUGAACCCUGAGUUUUAUUUGCUAGAGUGCUUUAUAAACGGUUACACAAAGCCUGAUCAUCAAUCAAUCAGUGAGUCAAUUCUUAGAGCAGCUCCCCUGGAACGGGGCUGAGCUGUGGAAGGGCUCUGUGCUCUGGGGAUUCGCUGCAGUUCUGAAGACGCUCAUUGGCUGCCUGCAUCGUGCCAGCUAAAGAGCAGCCUGGGGCAGAACUGGCUUUUUCUCCCAGGACCAGCUUUUCUUCGCUUUCCCACGGAGCCCCCUCCCGCUGUCAGGUGUCCACCCAGGGCCCCAGUGGGCUGGGCUCCCCCACCCCAGCCUCGCCCCGAGAGCUGGCAGGUUCAGGCUGAGACCUGUGGCAGCCUGGGCAUUCCUGCAGGUGGGGGAGGCUGGGCCCGCGUCCACGGAUGAAGUCUUGCUGCCCCGCCCGCCCUGUCGCCGGCUGGGACUUCUGCCUGGGAAUCUAUAGGAUGCUCCCUCAGCUCUGGGGCCUCCUGGGCCCCUGCAAGCAGGUGUGGGUCUCAGCAGCCGAGAUACCUCUUGGUCUGGGUUUGGUCCCUUCUUCUCCCACCCACUGAAAAACCAGUGACAAUGAUUUUUUUUUAAAUUUUUAUUUUAUUUUAUUUUUUUAGUUUUACCGAAUGUAGAAGUGAGUUGGGGCGCUCACUGGAUUCGUACACAGGUCUACACCACGGAACUACACGAGGUCAAAGUCUUGGACUGCUGCAGCCCCAGCAAGGCUGCCCUGUUUCCUCUCCCAGGCAGUCCCCUCGGCCCCCGCCUGAUCGCUGUCCCCUCCAUGUGUUAGUCCUGCCCAUCUCUGAACACCGUAAAAAUGGACUCAUUUAGUGUGUCUCAUGUCUCUUGAGCGGCAUCAUCUUUUGGGGAUUCAGCCGUAGCCACAGCUUGCUCUUGUCGGGAUAUCGCCGACUCUUAGCCCUUUCGAGGACUUCACUGCGGUUUGUCCACUCACCUGUUCGUGGACAUGGGACCUGCUCCUGGCCUUGGGCUGGACGUUAUUAACAGAACUUCUGCGAGGCUUCCUGUGGACCUUUGGUGGGAACACGCCCCGUUUCUCUUAGCCGGGAGCUGCCGGGCAGAGGGUCCCCCAGCUUUAACCUUGGGAAACGCGACCCCUCAGCCUCCCCAAGGGGUCUGCUUCCUUUUACUCUCCCAACAACAAGGCCUGAGGGUUGUGGUUGUCCACAUCCUUGCCUAGGUUUGGUAUCGUCUGUCUGUCUGUCUGUCUGUCUCUCUCUCUAUCUCUCUCUCUUGUCUUUUUAGGGCCGCACCUGCAGCAUAUGCAGGUUCCCAGGCCAGGAGUCCAAUUGGAGCUGUAGCUGCCAGCCUACACCACAACCAGAGCAAUGCCAGAUCCAAGCUGCGUCUGUGAGCUACACGGCAGCUCACGGCAAUGCGGGAUCCAUUCCCCCCCUGAGUGAGGCCAGGCAUUGAACCCGCAUCCUCACAGAUGCUAGUCAGGUUCGUUACCGCUGAGCCACAAAAGGAACUCCUCCAGCGGUAACGUCCUGAACGACACAUCGCCACCAGGAUGCUGACAUGGAUGCGGUCCGUUUACAGAGCACCCGUCACCACCAGGAUCCCUCAUGUUGCCUUUUCACCACCGCCCUGCCCCUCCUGUGCCACCCUCCUCCUCGAUUCCUGGCAGCCACUGUUGCCCCAAUCAGAACUGCAACAGAUUCACCAUCGGUCCUCCAUGCGAUAACUUUGUCAUUUCGAGAAUGUGAUAGAAAGAGAACAGUGCAGGAGCUUUUUUCCCACCCGGUGCACACCUUUGGGGGGGCAUCCAGUCUCUCUAGGCAUCAAUAAUUUGUUCCUUUCUACUGCAGAGUAGUGUUCCCUGGGAGUGGGUGGGCCAUGGUUGUUUCGCUGCUGCUUCUUUUUUUGGUUCAGGUUUUAAAUUUUAAAAAAAUUGAAGUAUAGUUGAUUUAUAGUGUUGUGUUAGUUUCAGGUGGACAACACAGUGAUUCAGUUACACAGAUAAAUAUUUGUAUAUAUAUUCUUUUUCAGAUUCCUUUCCUUUAUAGGUUAUUACAAAAUAUCAAAUAUUGUUUCCAGGUUGUUUCCUUCUUUACUGUUAAGUUUUAAGAGUUUUUUUUUUAAUUUUUAUUUUUUAAUAUAUAUCCAGGAGUUCCCUGGUGAUACAGCAGCAGGUUAGGGAUCCAGUGUUGUCACUGCUGUGGGCCCCGGGUUUGAUCCCUGGCCCCGAAAACUUCUGCAUGCCACGGACAUGUCCUAUAUAUAUAUACUAGACACGUGUCCUUUGUCAGAUAUAUAGUUUCUUUAAAACCAGUUUAUAGCUUGUCUUUUCGUCCUCUUAACAGGAUUUUUGGCAGAGCCACCGUGUUUAGUCUUGUUGCUGCCCAGUGCACCAUGUGCUCCUUUUAUGGUUGGUGCUUUGGGUUCAAAUCUAAGAACUUCUUGUCCAGCUCAAGAUCCUAAAGAGCUUCUCUCCUGCUUUUUUAAAAAGUUUGAUAAUUCUACUUGUUAUACUUUUAUGUGAUCCAUUACAAGUUGAAUAUUGUAAAAGAUGUGGAAGUUUUUUUAUUUUUAUGUUUGCUUUUCUAGGGCCGUAUCCGUGGCACAUGGAAGUUCCCAGGUUAGGGAUCGAAUCGGAGCUACCGCUGCCGGCCUACACCACAGCCACAGCAAACUCAGGAUCCGAGGCGCAUCUGCCACCUACACCACAGCUCACAGCAACGCGGGAUCCCUGACCCACUGAGUGAGGCCAGAGAUUGGACCCGCAUCCUCAUGGAUACUUGUCAGAUUCACUUCUGCUGUGCCACAGUGGGAACUCCAAAGAUGUGGAACUUAAGCCAGAGCUGUGUAGUUGCUCCGGCAUCAUUUGUGAGAAGUGCUACCUUGCCUCCCCCAAAUUGCCUUCGAACCACUGUCAAAAAUUAGCGGGGCGUAUUUGUACGGGUAUGUUUCUGGUUUCUUGGUUCUGCUCCAUGGAUCCUUGUGCCUACCCCUCUGUCAGCACGACAUGGUUUUUGGUUGUUGUAUCUAUUAUAGGUCUUGAGAUCGGGUAAACUGAUGUCUCCCAUUUUAUCUGUCUCUUUCAAAAUUGUUUCAGCGAUGCUACUUCCUUUUUCUUUCUCUAUACGCUUUGGAACAAUCUUGUCUAUGCCUACACCGUUCUUACUAGGAUUUCGAUAGCAAUCUCUGUAUGUCACUCAAUACCGUUAUACCAGUGAAUUAGAACGGACGUCUUUAUUACGUUGACUCUUCCAAUCAUGAACGUGGCUGUGCAUCUCCACUCAGUCAUCUCGUCCUUGAUGUCCCAUCAGAGCUGUGACGCUUUCAACCUCUAAGUCCCUACAUGUUUUGUUAGAUUUAACCUAAGUAUUUUUUUUAAUUUAUUUUUGGCUGUGCCUGCAGCAUGUGGAUGUUCCUGGGCCCGGGACUGGGCAGUCACCACCGCAGUGACCCAGGCUGCUGCGGUGAUAACACACCAGAUCCCCACCCCACGGAGCCAUCAAAGAACUCUAGUAUUUCCUUUUUGAAAACGUUUGCAUGUUUAUCUUGUAUCCAGUGAUGUGGCUGCUCUUGCUUAUUAGUCCUAGGAAUCAUUUUCUUAAUAUUUAACUUUGAUUCCUUUAUUUAUCCAUAAAAUACUUUGAUUUUUUGGUGUAGAUUCCUUGGGCCUUUUGACACAGACAAUCAUGCCAUCUGCUUUAGGACGAGUUGUUUCUCUCUUCCUCCGUGUGGCUUUCAUUGCCUUCUCUUGCCUUGCACUGGCCAUAACUUCCAGCACUAUAUCAAGUAGGAGUGAUGAGAGCGGACUUCCUUUUCCCAAUCUUGGAAGGAAAACAUUCACUCUUUUACCAUUAAGGCUUACGUUAGUUAAGGUUUUUUAGAUGUUCUUUAUCAAGUUGAGAAAGGUCCUCUCUGGUCCUGCUUAUUUCAGAGUUUUUACCAUGACCUCAUGCGGAAUGUUGACAGAUGCUUUUUGUAGAUUGAGUAACACAGUCGUGUGAUUUUUCUUUAGCUUACUACUCUGCUGGACUAUAUUGAUUAAUUUUGAGCCUUCAGCAAGCCUUGCAUUGCUGAAAUAAACCUCAUUUGGUCCUCGUGUUUAAUUCACAUGACGUAUUGAUGAAUUAUACUUGCUAAUAGCUUUUAAGGGAUUUUUGUGUCUGUAUUCAUCAGAGAUAUUGGUCUGCAAUCUCCUUUUCUCUUUCCUGUUCUUUCUUUUCUUCUGCUUUUGUCGAGUUUUGGUAUCAGCAUAAAACUAGCUUCAUAAGAUGAACUGGGGAGUUCCCAUUGUGGCUCAGUGGUUAACGAAUCCGACUAGGAACCAUGAGGUUGCGGGUUCGAUCCCUGCCCUUGCUCAGUGGGUUAGGGAUCCGGUGUUGCCGUUAACUGUGGUGUGGGUCGCAGACGCAGCUUGGAUCCUGCGUUUCUAUGGCUCUGGUGUAGGCC
rnacentral:lncRNA from 1 species